rnacentral:rRNA from 1 species
UACGUAGGUGGCAAGCGUUGUCCGGAUUUACUGGGCGUAAAGCGAACGCAGGCGGACUGUUAAGUAGGAAGUGAAAGGUCGGAGCUCAACUCCAACAUUGCUCCCUAUACUGGCAGUCUUGAGUAGCGGAGAGGAAGGGGGGAACGACACGUGUAGCGGUGAAAUGCGCAGAUAUCAGGAGGAACACCGAUGGCGAAGGCAGCUCGCUGGGACGGUACUGACGCUGAGGCGCGAAAGCGUGGGGAGCAAACAGG